rnacentral:lncRNA from 1 species
GGGCUGUGAGACAGAGGUUUAAUCCUAGACACAUGAAAAGUGGAAUAUAUACGGAGGGUGCGGGGCAACAGAAGAUCAACAGCAGAUGGGCUAAUUAUUUUAGAGAUGGGGAAAGGGCCGAUGAAACAGGGGGAAAGUUUACAUCCUGAAGGGGCAGGUCUCGAGUGGACAGCAAUACCUUCUGCCCGAACCGAUAGUAGGUAGCAGGGGUCCAGUGGUAAUCAGCCUGUAGCCGAUACCUGGAUGUGGAGUUCUGAAGAGUGGCCCGGGCUUUCUUCCAGGUACGGCGACAGCGGUGGACGAACAUCUCGGCAGAGGGAUUGCUGACUUCUUCCUCUUCUUCAGGGAAGAACGGGGGCUGAUAUACCAAGGAGGACUCAAAGGGAGAGAUACCAGUGGCUUAGCAGGGAAGGGUGUUACUGGCGUAUUCCACCCACAUGAGUGGCUGGCUGCAGGUGGUGGUGUUAGCGUUGAGGAGGCAAUGAAGAGCCGUCACCUGGUCCUGAUUUGCUCGUUCUGACUGGCUGUUAGAUUGGGGGUGAAAACCAUAGGACAGGCUGGCCGACGACCCGAUGAGGGUGCAGAACGCAGAACCUUCCAGAACCAGGACAAGAUUCGAGGACCAUGAUAGAAGAACAUGUCAUCUGGAAGUCCAUGGAUCAGGAAGACGUGCUGCACGAUGAGCUGAGCCGUCUCCUUGGCUGAGGGGAAUUAGGGAAGGGCAAUUAAACGGGCGGCUGUGGUGAAUCGAUGCUUGAGGUCUGAGAACGCCCAGUCAGCUGCUGGAGACCAUGUGAACGGAACCUUGGGAGAGGUGAGUGCUGAGAGGGGGGGAAGCCAGGGGGCUGUAACCCCGGAUGAAUCAGCGGUAGAGAUUAGAAAUUAGAAAUUAGAAAUGAGAAAUUAGCAAACCCCAGAAAACGUUGCAGCUGCCCUCUGAAUGUGGGUUGAGGCCAAACAUCCCCCCCGCUCUCACCUGGUCAGAGUCCAUCUGAAUAGUCCAUAUUUACA